rnacentral:misc_RNA from 1 species
GUUUUUACAUCAUGAAUAGAUCAAAUGGUUUUGUUGAUCUAUUUAGAACAAUACAAAAACAAUUUUGUGAGAUAUUGCAAUGCAUUUAUCAGCUGCAGUUGAUGCACAUAAAUAGAGGUUGAAUAGUUUAUUUGUACAGGUAAAUGUAUAAAAGCAUAAACUGUCUGAACUCAAUAUGUAAAAUAAGGUAGCUGUUAAAUUUCUUCAUUUUGUUUAGAUUUAUCUGGUACAAGUGGACUUAAUUUAUUUAAAAAAUCACAGAAGCUAGGUCAAAGUUAGGACAGAAAUAAGGCAAAUACUUACCCCACACUGUUUUUAUUCUUACAUUGUCUCUUUCUAUUGGUAGGAUAUUAGUCCCCCCCCCCUUCCAAGUUCUGAUGCCUUCGUGUUGUAUUUUUACAUAUACAAUUCCAUAUUUUUUCUCAAUUUAUGUACAUGUAUGUGAGGCUUUACAAAAAGAAAUUAAAUUGGGGUCGUGCGAUGGAGAAUGACUGACGUAGUAGAGAUAAGUAAUUUCCUGUAUUAUUUCUAUUUACACUGUUUGAUAUGGAGAUAUUUUAAGUUUGAGGAAACUCUGUUGUAUUUGUGGGUAUCGUAUAAUAAAGAGAAAUCUAUAUUAC